rnacentral:tRNA from 1 species
UCCGGCGUGGUCUAGUGGCUAGGAUACCUGGCUUUCACCCAGGGGGCCCGGGUUCGAUUCCCGGCGUCGGAA